rnacentral:rRNA from 1 species
GUAACGGCGAGUGAAGCGGCAACAGCUCAAAUUUGAAAUCUGGUCCCCAGGGCCCGAAUUGUAAUUUGCAGAGGAUGCUUUUGGCGAGGUGCCUUCCGAGUUCCCUGGAACGGGACGCCAUAGAGGGUGAGAGCCCCGUCUGGUCGGAUACCAAGCCUCUGUAAAGCUCCUUCGACGAGUCGAGUAGUUUGGGAAUGCUGCUCAAAAUGGGAGGUAUAUGUCUUCUAAAGCUAAAUAUUGGCCAGAGACCGAUAGCGCACAAGUAGAGUGAUCGAAAGAUGAAAAGCACUUUGAAAAGAGGGUUAAAAAGUACGUGAAAUUGUUGAAAGGGAAGCGCCUAUGACCAGACUUGGGCCCGGUGAAUCAUCCAGCGUUCUCGCUGGUGCACUUUGCCGGGCACAGGCCAGCAUCAGUUUGGCGCGGGGGAUAAAGACUUUGGGAAUGUGGCUCCCUCGGGAGUGUUAUAGCCCAUUGUGCAAUACCCUGCGCCGGACUGAGGUACGCGCAUUGCAAGGAUGCUGGCGUAAUGGUCAUCAGCGACCCGUCUUGAAACACGGACCAAGGAGUCGUCUUCGUAUGCGAGUGUUCGGGUGUCAAACCCCUACGCGUAAUGAAAGUGAACGCAGGUGAGAGCUUCGGCGCAUCAUCGACCGAUCCUGAUGUUCUCGGAUGGAUUUGAGUAAGAGCAUACGGGGCCGGACCCGAAAGAAGGUGAACUAUGCCUGUAUAGGGUGAAGCCAGAGGAAACUCUGGUGGAGGCUCGCAGCGGUUCUGACGUGCGAAUCGAUCGUCAAAUAUGGGCAUGGGGGCGAAAGACUAAUCGAACCUUCUAGUAGCUGGUUUCCGCCGAAGUUUCCCUCAGGAUAGCAGUGUUGAACUCAGUUUUAUGAGGUAAAGCGAAUGAUUAGGGACUCGGGGGCGCUAUAUUGCCUUCAUCCAUUCUCAAACUUUAAAUAUGUAAGAAGCUCUUGUUACUUAAUUGAACGUGAGCAUUCGAAUGUAUCAACACUAGUGGGCCAUUUUUGGUAAGCAGAACUGGCGAUGCGGGAUGAACCGAACGCGAGGUUAAGGUGCCGGAGUGGACGCUCAUCAGACACCACAAAAGGUGUUAGUACAUCUUGACAGCAGGACGGUGGCCAUGGAAGUCGGAAUCCGCUAAGGACUGUGUAACAACUCACCUGCCGAAUGUACUAGCCCUGAAAAUGGAUGGCGCUCAAGCGUCCCACCCAUACCUCGCCCUCAGGGUAGAAACGAAGCCCUGAGGAGUAGGCGGACGUGGAGGUCAGUGA